rnacentral:rRNA from 1 species
CCUACGGGAGGCAGCAGUGGGGAAUAUUGGGCAAUGGGCGCAAGCCUGACCCAGCAACGCCGCGUGAAGGAAGAAGGCUUUCGGGUUGUAAACUUCCUUUAAGAGGGGAGCGCAGAAGACGGUACCUCUUGAAUAAGCCACGGCUAACAACGGGACGGCAGCCGUGGUAAUACGUAGGUGGCAAGCGUUGUCCGGAAUUACUGGGGGUAAAGGGCGUGUAGCCGGGCUGACAAGUCAGAUGCGAAAUCUGGGGGCUCAACCCCCGAACUGCAUUUGAAACUGUUGGUCUUGAGUAUCGGAGAGGUAGGCGGAAUGCGUAGUGUAGCGGUGAAAUGCGUAGAUAUUAGGAGGAACACCGGUGGCGAAGGCGGCCUGCUGGACGACAACUGACGGUGAGGCGCGAAAGCGUGGGGAGCAAACAGGAUUAGAUACCCGUGUAGUC